UCACUCGUAUUGUAUUGUCAUGGGACUGAUCCAGUGCAGCACACAACCAUGGUUAUUAGUCUACUCUACAGAAGUGGUAGCCAGCAGACGGUUUUGCUUUAGUCACAAGUGUGUAGGGACUGACACUUCCAUUUACAACUACGCAGUUGAGUGUAUGUGAGAACUACGUCUAGUAGGUAUACCCAGACCAAGGAGAAUGAACUCAUUUUGGGGAAAUGCAACUCAUGGACGGGACCCUGACAACUGCAGGUUUACUGUGGAGGGUUGUCCCAGCGGAGAGUCGCCGCUGGCCUUGGCAGACCCAAGUUCACUAAAGGCUUGCAGAUGAAGAUGGAUAAAGUGAUCUCUAAGCAAGCGGAGGAAAUCUCAUCACUGAAUCUCUAGCUCCACACUCAAGACCUUUACCUGCAAACCAUGACAGAUAAGUAUGAGGGCAAACGGAAUAAGUACUCUAAGCUCCCAAGUGGAAUCUUCAAUGCAGCAGAAUACCACCCUUUGGUACCAUCUGGCAGAAUUCCAGAACAGUUGCGCUACAGCGUGACUACCCAACCCAACCAAGCUCCCAACCGGGUCUGGGUACACAAAGGAGUGAAGACAACAGAAGGUUUCAGACUUUGCCUCUCUCAGGUGUCCCUCAGUCUUCUCCUCUUGGUCAUUCAGUACAGAGUAAUAUGGUAUAUACUCGCCAACAAAGCCAACGCUUGGCAUCUCUUGGCCUUUCGGCCCACAAUUCCCCAUAGGAUGAAGCCAACCCUCUCUCCGCCCACUUGGUAUGGAACGCCGUGACAAAAUCGUCAAAAGCUUCCGCACCUUGGACCCCUUUCCAGCGAAGCCUAACAACACUGAGACAUUCUUAGCAGACAUAGAAGACACUAGGGCUGGGAAAUAUGACCAAAAUCUCAAAUCCCGAUAUAGGUAAUUUCAUAUCCUGAUAACGGUACAUAUCACAA